UACGUAGGGGGCAAGCGUUGUCCGGAAUCAUUGGGCGUAAAGAGCGUGUAGGCGGCCCGAUAAGUCCGCUGUGAAAGUCCAGGGCUCAACCCUGGGAUGCCGGUGGAUACUGUCGGGCUCGAGUCCGGAAGAGGCGAGUGGAAUUCCUGGUGUAGCGGUGAAAUGCGCAGAUAUCAGGAAGAACACCCGUGGCUAAGGCGGUUCUCUAGUACGGUACUGACGCUGAGACGCGAAAGCGUGGGGAGCGAACAGG
rnacentral:rRNA from 1 species